CGACUCUCUGUGUGCGUGUGUGUGGAACGGACACCGCAGGCGCACAGGCAUACGCACCUCAGACACAAGGGUACGAGGCGUGCGCGUGCUUACGCGUGCGUUGAUAUACGUGCGUCCAGGCGGGCUCGUUCGCAGGGGCCGCAGUAACCGCACACGAGCCGAAAAGAGCUAAGGGCCUACUUGAAAGGCGCCACAUCAACCAAGCCGCCUCUCAUGUUUGGCUGUGUACAGGAGAGGUGACGGAUAUAGAAGAGACGCAAGCAGAAUACAGAUAAAGGCGAGCCACGGGAGGAGCGCAACGCCGCCGAAGCGGUGUGGAGUCCCGGUGACUUGACAGGCAUGAGCACCUCCCGAAAGCGGUACAGGCCCCUGGACUCCGCCGAGGAACGUGCAGUCACCGUCCAUGAGCGCUUGCAGCUUCUGCCGCUGGAGAAUGAGCAGUCGUACUGCUUCAGCUGGCCGGAGGCGCCGCUCACGCAGUGGCUGCAGGACGACGUGCCCUACGCCUCUCUCUACCAGCUCUAUGCAAAUACUGGUGGUGGUGUCGGCGGAGGUGGUGUCUCCUCUCACACGAUGCGCAGCCAAGGUAGCGGGCUUGGUGACGCGGGCGUGGCUUCCGCAGCACUCGCUCUCCCCAAAGGUAAGAGCAAGCUCGUUGCGUCGUCGUCCGCUGGACGACGCGACGCACUCGUUCUGAGCUCACCAACAGGCAUGACGAACUUUGCGGCGCCUCAUCAUCCGCGGAGUGUCGAGGUGCCGCCGGUAUUCACCUUGGACGACUUCGAGCCGGCUCCAGAACAGCGCGCGCCGCCUUUGAGAGCCAGCGGCGGCGAAGGAGCCGCGAGCGGUGCGCAGUACGGUGGUGCUGGCGUGCAGCACCUUCUGAAUCGCGUGCGAGACGCCGUGCGGCACGAAUCCAUAGUCACCGCAUCGGCCGUCAAGUCAGAGGGCCUUGCCGCCAAGGAUGGGGCAUCGCCAUCGACAGUGCCGUCGCCAUCGAUUGUCGUCCAAUCGGAUGCCGCUGAACGUGCCAUACCUCAUCCCCUCGCUCCUCCGCGACCGCAGAGCAUCAGAGAGGACUCUAUCUUUUCUCUGUCGGCGACUCAGCUGGCCGACUUGGUGGCGGCAGGUGUGCCAGCGCUGCACGCAUCGGCGGCCCGAGUCGACGCGCAGGGGCCAUCGCAGCGCGCCCAGGCCCCGUACACCUCCGUGGCUACCUCAGCCGAAGACCCGCCAAGCGGUGAGGCGGGCACUGCUCCCAUGCAUACAAGGUACGCUUGCAGCGGCCACUGUCGACAACGAGGUGUCGGACUCGCCGAGCCAGCACGGCGUGAAAUCGAGCACGAGAUAGUGGGCCUCGAGUGGCGCACAUGGUCCCAGUCGCAGCGCACAGCUGCAGCGCUGCAGCGUAUCCUCUCCCUCGAAGCCGCCGUGCCCUUUGAAAGCAGCGGCGACGCACGACGCGAUGCUUGGCGUGCCACCGUCUACCGCUUGUGGCUGCAGUGGCGCCAACAACGACUGCCACCGACACCGGAGAGGACAGCGUCUGACAAGUCUGCCGCAUCCAGCACAAGAGCGGAUACUCUUGGGCACGGCUUCAGUGGCGCCAGCGCGGUGCCGUCAGUGUCCAACUCUUCGUGUGACCUCGCCGCAUCUGUGUCGCCUUCACCUGCGGCUGUCGCGCUUGCUUUCCCAAAAGGCGCCCUUGUGCCGUCACAUCAUCAGCCGCACCUUCCCUGGGGUGCGCCUCUCCUCGCCGGGGCGUACCUCUACUGCACUAGCAAUGACUACUUCAUCAGCCUUCCCUCGCCCACCACCAGUGCCACCGGGAGCGCCGGCAAAGGCGGCGGCAGCAACAGCGGCGGAUCGCCAAUGAACGUCACUACCACAGCGUCGAUGUGGCCUGCCAUGUCGCGCCGGCGCGGCACGUACAGCUUUCUGCGUUGGAAGGUGGAGUUGUAUGAGGCACAGCUGUCCCGAACAACAGCCGCCGCCGACGAUGACGAGGAAAACGACGAUGAAGGCAACGAGGCGGUGGAGAGGGAUAAGACCAAGGGCGUCGACGUCCGCGAUCGCGGCGGCAACGGCAGUGCGACUACUGCAAAGGUGCGCAGGUAUUCGAAAGGCCCCUUGGGAGGGGCAGAGACCGACGCUCCUGCGUCGACGCAUCGCUCUCGCCGCGGCGAGGAUGACCACGAUGGGUACGCAACCACUAUCAGCCAUUUCACAGGGCGUAAAGCCGCAACAGCCACAGUGGCGUCUUCCGCAGGCCACGCCGCCAUAAACGGCGUCAUGAGUGUCUCGCACAUGAAGGCGUUGCUGCAUACGACGGUGCUGACGCAGCCGUUGACGGAGCUGGAGAUGGAUGACGAACCGACGACAGUGAUGGAGCGGUUGGCCUGCACUGACCUGCGGCGCGAUACGGAUGCGUGGCGUGUGUGGUUGUCAAGGGUGUGAAAAGGCUACCCGAGUUGCUGACGCCAAGAGGGAGGGAUAGAGAGGCAUGGAAAAAGUGCACAUCAGUGUGGGCAGGGGAGGGCGGCGGGACGCGGCAGCUCUUGGACGGCUUUCCUCUAGAUUCUGUACGUCGCGCAUGACGGAACAGCCGCAGGUGUGUAGCGAUGCCGGGCUACACAGUCACUGAACUUGCUUUUUUGUUGUUGUCAUCGGUUCUCUACCCAGGCAAGUGAGGGAAAGGAGGAGUCUGGAUGAACACACCACUCCCCUCCCCCCACCCUCCUCCCCAACACACAAAUGUUGCGUGAAGGAGAGCGUCGCGCUGAAGCAACUCGGUUCCGUGUGAAGCUUUCAGCGAAGAUGAGGAUGAGAAAAGCCAACUUGUGCGGUAACCCUCUCAUCCUCCGCACACGUGUGCGCAUGGACGAUGAGGACAUUAGCCCCGAUGCCCCUGCUCUUCGGCGAGCAGGGUGGCGGGGAGCGGUGCUGCCUGCAUGCGCGGUGCGUUCCUUGCCAAACACACACAUUUGCAAGGGUGCUUGCCAUGCUUGCUUCGUUGCGUCAUUGUCUUGCCUUUCUUCUCGCGCUUUUCAUCGCUCCGCCCUCUCCUAUCAUGAACGUCUCUUCUACCUCUGCAUCACCGAUCCAACACCAUCACAUCCAUCCAACAUCCAUCCAACAACGACAUAUACCGCUCGGGGCUCAG
rnacentral:misc_RNA from 1 species